GACAAUGUGCCCGAGUGGUCUAAGGGGGUGGAUUUAGGCCGCACGCGGAUCGACGCGCGAAACUUUCCACUGCUCACGCGCGCGGGUUCAAAUCCCGUCAUUGUCA
rnacentral:tRNA from 1 species